rnacentral:rRNA from 1 species
GACGAACGCUGGCGGCGUGCUUAACACAUGCAAGUCGAACGGUGAAGCGCCUUCCUUUUUGGUGGGUGUGGAUGAGUGGCGAACGGGUGAGUAACACGUGAGUAACCUGCCCCCUUCUUCUGGAUAACCGCAUGAAAGUGUGGCUAAUACGGGAUAUUCUGGGUCUGUCGCAUGAUGGGUCUGGGAAAGAUAUUGUUUCGGUGGGGGAUGGGCUCGCGGCCUAUCAGCUUGUUGGUGGGGUGAUGGCCUACCAAGGCGGUGACGGGUAGCCGGCCUGAGAGGGUGGACGGUCACACGGGGACUGAGACACGGCCAAGACUCCUACGGGAGGCAGCAGUGGGGAAUAGUGCACAAUGGGCGCAAGCCUGAUGCAGCGACGCCGCGUGAGGGAUGGAGGCCUUCGGGUUGUGAACCUCUUUCGCCAGUGAAGCAGGCCUGCCUCGUUUGUGGGUGGGUUGACGGUAGCUGGAUAAGAAGCGCCGGCUAACUACGUG